rnacentral:rRNA from 1 species
AGUGAACGCUGGCGGUAGGCCUAACACAUGCAAGUCGAACGGCAGCACAGUAAGAGCUUGCUCUUACGGGUGGCGAGUGGCGGACGGGUGAGGAAUACAUCGGAAUCUACUUUUUCGUGGGGGAUAACGUAGGGAAACUUACGCUAAUACCGCAUACGACCUACGGGUGAAAGCAGGGGAUCUUCGGACCUUGCGCGAUUGAAUGAGGCGAUGUCGGAUUAGCUAGUUGGGGGGGUAAAGGCCCACCAAGGCGACGAUCCGUAGCUGGUCUGAGAGGAUGGUCAGCCACACUGGAACUGAGACACGGUCCAGACUCCUACGGGAGGCAGCAGUGGGGAAUAUUGGACAAUGGGCGCAAGCCUGAUCCAGCCAUACCGCGUGGGUGAAGAAGGCCUUCGGGUUGUAAAGCCCUUUUGUUGGGAAAGAAAAGCAGCAGGUUAAUACCCCGCUGUUCUGACGGUACCCAAAGAAUAAGCACCGGCUAACUUCGUG